rnacentral:lncRNA from 1 species
AGCUUCUCCAGUUGGGGUUGAGUAGUAUCUUCUUCCAGCACAGCAUUACUCUUGUAGAAGUUCUACUUCCUCACAGGGGCUUUUCCUGAGGGAAGCAAUGCUGGUGCUCCAAGCCCUGGAGACCCAUGAGCCUAGAUCAACCUGGGAUGUAAUGAAUGUGAUGGUUUUUCAAUGAACACAAUAACUUCAGUAUUUUGAAAUGAACUCUGGGAACUGUGAAAGUGGGUGUGAAGUGUCAGGAACUGGCCUGACACUGGUGACUGCAGUUUUCUUCUCUCUUGAGGAACAUUGGGUGUUUUACCUCUGUUGCUACAAGCACAGACAUCUGUGAACCUUGGUAGAAAAAUGGAUAAGAAUACCAGUUCAAGGUCACACAGGAGGCAUCAUCCUGCUCAGCACUACAUAUCUGAUUUGAGCACCUGCUCCCCCUUGAUUGUCUCUGAAGCCAAAGGAGAGAGAGAUAGGAGCUGGGGACUCGGCAGAAGCAUUCGUUUCACAGCAGCUGUCUCUACCCUUACUUGGACCAGAGAAAGUUUCCAAUGCCCAGCUUUGAAUUUCAUCAGCACUGCUGGAUAGUUGGUGCAAUGCAGCUGUCCCUCAUGGGGCCACUCCAGCUAUGCACCUGAAUCUGGUUUGAGAGCUGCAGAGCUGACAUAACAGCCAAGCAUGUGCAGGAGCAAUUUAAAGCAUGAACAGGCUAAUACUAAUUUCUGAAAUAAAAGCCAGGCCAAGAGCA